CACUGUCUUGUAAGCUGUACGGCCGUAAAUGUUUAGACACUUCCAAGAUGGCGGACGCUGAAAGUCAACACAGGCUUAUGCCAUUCACGUGUUAAUACUGGUGCUUCGAGGGAGACUUUGAUAUGGUUAUUGAACACUGCACAGAACUCCACUCCAAUCAAAUUCGUCUAAAGAAAACAUGUCUGCACAACACAGCAGAUUAUAGAUGACUGGGAUGAGCCUUUAAGAGACAGACGUAUCAACCAUCCGUUUAAGGGACCAUUCGUUUGAUCUAGAGGAGCGAAGGCGAGGAAAAAGAACCAGAAAAUCUUGAAAAGUGUCUAAGCCAAAUCAGCCAGCACGAAAUCCGUCCCCAGUUCGGGAGUACCACAAGGCGUCAGAGGCAAAGAUACUUCCCCAUGUGCGUCGUGGGUUAAACCUGGAAUCUUUUAACGACUCAUAGAAACUAGACUCUUUGAAGACUCAUAGAAACACUACUCUUUUAAUACCUCAUAGAAACUGGACUCUUUUAACGACUCAUAAUGUCAAAAUGGUUACACAGUGGUAUAUGAACUUGAUAAGUUUAUGUGCUACCAUUUUCAACAGUUGCUUAAAAUACUUAUACUUCAUAUUUACACUGUUAGCUAAGUACUGAUUAUUCAUAAUUGGAAAGUAAAAAUGAUAUAACAUAUAAUUAUGUAGUUUAUCUUUUUAUUAAAUGUCUUAUUUAGACUUCAAUAUUGCAAAUCAUACUUUGCAUUUGUGAUCCAAGGGUCGAUAGGAAAGCUAUCUCUUUUAAUGUUUAAUUGACAUAAUUGGCAUAAUUGACACUUGAUAUUUAAAUGUACAUGAAAUAAGGUGAGAACAACAACAUAAGAAGAAAUGCGCAU